rnacentral:rRNA from 1 species
AUUGAACGCUGGCGGCAGGCUUAACACAUGCAAGUCGAGCGGGGGAAGGUAGCUUGCUACCGGACCUAGCGGCGGACGGGUGAGUAAUGCUUAGGAAUCUGCCUAUUAGUGGGGGACAACAUCUCGAAAGGGAUGCUAAUACCGCAUACGUCCUACGGGAGACAGCAGGGGAUCUUCGGACCUUGCGCUAAUAGAUGAGCCUAAGUCGGAUUAGCUAGUUGGUGGGGUAAAGGCCUACCAAGGCGACGAUCUGUAGCGGGUCUGAGAGGAUGAUCCGCCACACUGGGACUGAGACACGGCCCAGACUCCUACGGGAGGCAGCAGUGGGGAAUAUUGGACAAUGGGGGGAACCCUGAUCCAGCCAUGCCGCGUGUGUGAAGAAGGCCUUAUGGUUGUAAAGCACUUUAAGCGAGGAGGAGGCUACUCUAGUUAAUACCUAGGGAUAGUGGACGUUACUCGCAGAAUAAGCACCGGCUAACUCUGUGCCAGCAGCCGCGGUAAUAC